rnacentral:lncRNA from 12 species
CGGAAGGGACAUUUGCUGGAAGGGUAGCAGGGAUCAAGACAAGAAGGGGAAUAGUGGUUCAAGAAGAAACAGCUGGAGUGUGCAGUGCUAUCAUUAAGGACCCCUGGGCUAACCCAGAAGUGCUCAACGGGAGGUAAUCAAUGAGUCCUGGAAUAAUUCUCUAAGCCAAGGAAAAAAACAAGACAGUGGCUUUUUAGUAUAUUGUUAAGGCCUAAAAGUGCCUGUUGGGAUUCCGUGCUUCAUCUCUUAACUGAUGACUCUUACCCAUUCUCUCAGUAAUUACGUAUAAAACAUAGAAAGUACGGAGUUCAGGAAAUAUUCAGUUACCGCCCAAUUAAAACACC